GAUGAAGAACGUAGCGAAAUGCGAUAAGUAAUGUGAAUUGCAGAAUUCAGUGAAUCAUCGAAUCUUUGAACGCACAUUGCGCCCCUUGGUAUUCCGAGGGGCAUGCCUGUUCGAGCGUCAUUAUAACCCCUCAAGCUCAGCUUGGUGUUGGGGCCUGCUGCACUGGCAGCCCUUAAAAUCAGUGGCGGCGCCAUCUGGCUCUAAGCGUAGUAAUUCUUCUCGCUAUGGAGUCCUGGUGGAUGCUUGCCAUCAACCCCCAAUUUUUCUAUGGUUGACCUCGGAUCAGGUAGGGAUACCCGCUGAACUUAAGCAUUCAAUAAGCGGAGGA
rnacentral:misc_RNA from 1 species